rnacentral:rRNA from 1 species
UACGAAGGGGGCUAGCGUUGUUCGGAAUCACUGGGCGUAAAGCGCGUGUAGGCGGCUCGAUAAGUCCGGUGUGAAACCUUGGGGCUCAACCCCAAGCCUGCACUGGAUACUGCCGAGCUAGAGUCCGGGAGGGGAGAGCGGAAUUCCUAGUGUAGCGGUGAAAUGCGCAGAUAUUAGGAAGAACACCGGUGGCGAAGGCGGCUCUCUGGAACGGUACUGACGCUGAGACGCGAAAGCGUGGGGAGCGAACAGG